rnacentral:rRNA from 1 species
ACAUGUCUACAACAUGGAAUUAAUGCAUCGGAUCCCAUUAGAACUUUGUAGUUAAGCAUGCUUGGGAUAAAGUAGUACUGAGAUGGGUGACCUCCCGAGAAGUCCUAGUAUUUUACAUGCA